rnacentral:rRNA from 1 species
AGGACGAACGCUGGCGGCGUGCUUAACACAUGCAAGUCGAACGGAUCCCAAGCGCUAGCAAUAGUGUGGAAGGGUUAGUGGCGAACGGGUGAGUAACACGUGAGGAACCUACCCCGGACUCAGGGAUAACGGCUGGAAACGGCUGCUAAUACCUGAUGCCGUCGUAUCAUCGCAUGGUGGUGUGAACGAAAGAAUCUCGGUUCGGGAGGGUCUCGCGGCCUAUCAGUCUUGGUUGGUGGGUAAUGGCCUACCAAGGCGUCGACGGGUAGCGUGGUCUGAGAGGAUGAUCAGCCACACUGGGACUGAGACACGGCCCAGACCUCCGACGGGAGGCAGCGAGGUGGGAAUCGUUGCGACGAAGUGGGACGAAAGCC